rnacentral:snRNA from 1 species
GCUUCUCGGCCUUAUGGCUAAGAUCAAGUGUAGUAUCUGUUCUUAUCAGUUUAAUAUCUGAUACGUCCUCUAUAUGAGGACUACAUAUUAAAUUGAUUUUUAGAACAGGGAGACGGGAAAGGAGCUUGCUCCGCCC